CUUUCAGUGAUCUACUAUUCCGCGCAGCUAUUUAGGCAGUCAGAGGCGAUGAAGGGCGUGCUAAUCUGCGAAAAGCGUCGGUAAGGUGAUAUGAACCGUUACAACCGGCGAUACCCGAAUGGGGAAACCCAGUGUGUUUCGACACACUAUCAUGUCAUGAAUACAUAGUGGCAUGAGGCGAACCGGGGGAACUGAAACAUCUAAGUACCCCGAGGAAAAGAAAUCAACCGAGAUUCCCCCAGUAGCGGCGAGCGAACGGGGAGGAGCCCAGAACCUGAAUCGGCUUGUGUGUUAGUGGAAGCGUCUGGAAAGUCGCGCAGCAAAGGGUGAUAGCCCCGUACACUAAAAUGCACAGGUCGUGAGUUCGAUGAGUAGGGCGGGACACGUGACAUCCUGUCUGAAUAUGGGGGGACCAUCCUCCAAGGCUAAAUACUCCUGACUGACCGAUAGUGAACCAGUACCGUGAGGGAAAGGCGAAAAGAACCCCGGCGAGGGGAGUGAAAUAGAACCUGAAACCGUGUACGUACAAGCAGUGGGAGCACCUUCGUGGUGUGACUGCGUACCUUUUGUAUAAUGGGUCAGCGACUUAUAUUUUGUAGCAAGGUUAACCGUAUAGGGGAGCCGUAGGGAAACCGAGUCUUAACUGGGCGAAUAGUUGCAAGGUAUAGACCCGAAACCCGGUGAUCUAGCCAUGGGCAGGUUGAAGGUUGGGUAACACUAACUGGAGGACCGAACCGACUAAUGUUGAAAAAUUAGCGGAUGACUUGUGGCUGGGGGUGAAAGGCCAAUCAAACCGGGAGAUAGCUGGUUCUCCCCGAAAGCUAUUUAGGUAGCGCCUCGUGAACUCAUCUUCGGGGUAGAGCACUGUUUCGGCUAGGGGGCCAUCCCGGCUUACCAAACCGAUGCAAACUCCGAAUACCGAAGAAUGUUAUCACGGGAGACACACGGCGGGUGCUAACGUCCGUCGUGAAGAGGGAAACAACCCAGACCGCCAGCUAAGGUCCCAAAGUCAUGGUUAAGUGGGAAACGAUGUGGGAAGGCAUAGACAGCCAGGAUGUUGGCUUAGAAGCAGCCAUCAUUUAAAGAAAGCGUAAUAGCUCACUGGUCGAGUCGGCCUGCGCGGAAGAUGUAACGGGGCUAAACCAUGCACCGAAGCUGCGGCAGCGACGCUUAGGCGUUGUUGGGUAGGGGAGCGUUCUGUAAGCCGUUGAAGGUGGCCUGUGAGGGUUGCUGGAGGUAUCAAAGUGCGAAUGCUGACAUAAGUAACGAUAAAGCGGGUGAAAAGCCCGCUCGCCGGAAGACCAAGGGUUCCUGUCCAACGUUAAUCGGGGCAGGGUGAGUCGACCCCUAAGGCGAGGCUGAAAAGCGUAGUCGAUGGGAAACAGGUUAAUAUUCCUGUACUUGGUGUUACUGCGAAGGGGGGACGGAGAAGGCUAGGCUAGCCGGGCGACGGUUGUCCCGGUUUAAGCGUGUAGGGGGUGUGACCUGGUAAAUCCGGUUGCAUAUCAACCCUGAGGCGUGAUGACGAUGCACUACGGUGCAGAAGUAGUUGAUGCCCUGCUUCCAGGAAAAGCCUCUAAGCUCUAGGUAACAUUGAAUCGUACCCCAAACCGACACAGGUGGUCAGGUAGAGAAUACCAAGGCGCUUGAGAGAACUCGGGUGAAGGAACUAGGCAAAAUGGUGCCGUAACUUCGGGAGAAGGCACGCUGGCAUGUAGGUGAAGUCCUUCGCGGAUGGAGCUGAAGCCAGUCGAAGAUACCAGCUGGCUGCAACUGUUUAAUAAAAACACAGCACUGUGCAAACACGAAAGUGGACGUAUACGGUGUGACGCCUGCCCGGUGCUGGAAGGUUAAUUGAUGGGGUCAGCCGCAAGGCGAAGCUCUUGAUCGAAGCCCCAGUAAACGGCGGCCGUAACUAUAACGGUCCUAAGGUAGCGAAAUUCCUUGUCGGGUAAGUUCCGACCUGCACGAAUGGCGUAAUGAUGGCCAGGCUGUCUCCACCCGAGACUCAGUGAAAUUGAACUCGCUGUGAAGAUGCAGUGUACCCGCGGCAAGACGGAAAGACCCCGUGAACCUUUACUAUAGCUUGACACUGAACAUUGAGCCUUGAUGUGUAGGAUAGGUGGGAGGCUUUGAAGCGUGGACGCCAGUCUGCGUGGAGCCAUCCUUGAAAUACCACCCUUUAAUGUUUGAUGUUCUAACUCGGCCCCAUAAUCUGGGGUGAGGACAGUGUCUGGUGGGUAGUUUGACUGGGGCGGUCUCCUCCCAAAGAGUAACGGAGGAGCACGAAGGUUAGCUAAUCACGGUCGGACAUCGUGAGGUUAGUGCAAAGGCAUAAGCUAGCUUGACUGCGAGAGUGACGGCUCGAGCAGGUACGAAAGUAGGUCUUAGUGAUCCGGUGGUUCUGAAUGGAAGGGCCAUCGCUCAACGGAUAAAAGGUACUCCGGGGAUAACAGGCUGAUACCGCCCAAGAGUUCAUAUCGACGGCGGUGUUUGGCACCUCGAUGUCGGCUCAUCACAUCCUGGGGCUGAAGUAGGUCCCAAGGGUAUGGCUGUUCGCCAUUUAAAGUGGUACGCGAGCUGGGUUUAGAACGUCGUGAGACAGUUCGGUCCCUAUCUGCCGUGGGCGUUGGAAGAUUGAGAGGGGUUGCUCCUAGUACGAGAGGACCGGAGUGAACGCACCACUGGUGUUCGGGUUGUCAUGCCAAUGGCAUUGCCCGGUAGCUAAGUGCGGAAAAGAUAAGCGCUGAAAGCAUCUAAGCGCGAAACUUGCCUCAAGAUGAGUCUUCCCUGGGCCUUUAAGGUCCCUGAAGGAACGUUUAAGACUAAGACGUUGAUAGGCUGGGUGUGUAAGUGCAGCGAUGCAUUGAGCUAACCAGUACUAAUGAUCCGUGAGGCUUAACCUU
rnacentral:rRNA from 1 species